UAAAUUAUUGUUGACUAUAGUCACAAUGUUGUGCUAUUAAAUACCAGAUCUUAUUCAUUCUAAUUAUGUUUUUGUACUGAUUGACUACCCCUAUUUCAUCCCCACAGCCCCACUACCCUUUCCAGCCUCUGGUAACCAUCCUCUCUAUCUCCAUGAGUUCCAAUAAACAGGUUAUAAAAUUGAUUAAAAUUGCAGUACAUCAACUCUACACAUAUACCUGCUCUGUUACUGGAGACUAAUGUAAUCCAAAUAUGUGGAAAAGUCAAAUAGUUCUCAGCAAAAUUAAUUUAGAUGGAUGGAUCAGAUAACAACUUGGAACUGAACCUAAAAGGAUCAUUCCUACUAAAAGGCAACAAAAGCAAAAUCAUUGAAGAAACCACUGAUGUUCAUUGCCACAAGAUUUGUCGUCUUUCAAACAAAGAUAAAAAAUGAUCAACUGAUCAAGAUGGCACAGUUCUAAGGGCCAGCCUAUACUUUUUUUUGCCUCAUCCAUU
rnacentral:lncRNA from 1 species